AGUGAACGCUGGCGGUAGGCCUAACACAUGCAAGUCGAACGGCAGCACAGUAAGAGCUUGCUCUUACGGGUGGCGAGUGGCGGACGGGUGAGGAAUACAUCGGAAUCUACUUUUUCGUGGGGGAUAACGUAGGGAAACUUACGCUAAUACCGCAUACGACCUACGGGUGAAAGCAGGGGAUCUUCGGACCUUGCGCGAUUGAAUGAGCCGAUGUCGGAUUAGCUAGUUGGCGGGGUAAAGGCCCACCAAGGCGACGAUCCGUAGCUGGUCUGAGAGGAUGAUCAGCCACACUGGAACUGAGACACGGUCCAGACUCCUACGGGAGGCAGCAGUGGGGAAUAUUGGACAAUGGGCGCAAGCCUGAUCCAGCCAUACCGCGUGGGUGAAGAAGGCCUUCGGGUUGUAAAGCCCCUUUGUUGGGAAAGAAAAGCAGCAGAUUAAUACCCCGCUGUUCUGACGGUACCCAAAGAAUAAGCACCGGCUAACUUCGUG
rnacentral:rRNA from 1 species